UGACAUUAGCUGCAGAAUAAGCACCGGCUAACUCUGGGCCAGCAGCCGCGGUAAUACAGAGGGUGCAAGCGUUAAUCGGAAUUACUGGGCGUAAAGCGAGCGUAGGUGGCUUGAUAAGUCAUAUGUGAAAUCCCCGGGCUUAACCUGGGAACUGCAUCUGAAACUGUUAGGCUAGAGUAGGUGAGAGGGAAGUAAAAUUUCAGGGGUAGAGGUGAAAUGCGUAAAGAUCUGAAGGAAUACCGAUGGCGAAGGCAGCUUCCUGGCAUCAUACUGACACUGAGGCUCGAAAGCGUGGGUAGCAAACAGGAUUAUAUACCCUGGUAGUCCACGCCGUAAACGAUGUCUACUAAUCGUUGGGUCCCUUGAGGACUUAGUGACGCAGCUAACGCAAUAAGUAGACCGCCUGGGGAGUACGGCCGCAAGGUUAAAAUUCAUAUGAAUUGACGG
rnacentral:rRNA from 1 species